rfam:Raphidiopsis brookii D9 D9_60, whole genome shotgun sequence.
AGUGUUUAAACCUUUGAUGCCAUUAGGCGUUGAGCAC